CGAAAGCCCCUUUUGAAGACUGCUAAACAUGGACUGUGGCCCUUUGGAAGGCAGUCAAAGCAAUAGACACAGACCUUGAAAUAAAUGGAUGAGAGCAGCAUGACUGGGGCUGACAGGAAGUGAAGACUGGAGGCUUCAAAUACAAACAUUAUGAAAAACAAGCAACAUCUGCAAACAACAGUGCUGCAAGGCACAUCCCAGGCAGUUUGAUGUAACAGAGCAAUCACCAGGCAGCAGGAAACUGGAGAGGCUGAACUUUCAGCAGCCCUAAUAUUUUUAUAAUCCUGCAUAAUGAUUUCAGGAUUGGGUCACAAAAACAGCAACUCCUUCUUUGCCGGGCCGGGCACCCAGUAGAGCCAUAGCCAGGUGUAUUCUGGGGGCUCCAACAAGUACUGCAAACCACACCUAGAGCAAAGUGAUUAAGAAGACUUUUCAAUUCUGCAGUGUGGGACAGGGGAGCAAGAGGGAGGGAGCAAAGCAAAAGAAAGUCAUCAUUCUGUCUUAUGAGUUUCCAAGUCUUUGCCAAUAAAUACUCAGAGUUGAACACCUCUGCCUAGGAUUUUUCCCCUCAACUGUGCUCCCUCCAGGCUCUGCAGACAAUCCCAAAGAAGAUGAAGAAAAUGAGGCACACACAACAGGUGAAGACACUUGCCCAGGGUCACGUGAAUGAGUUAGACUUCAAGCCCUGGUCUUCGUACCAAGUCCAAUGCCCCAUUCACUACACCAUGACUUCCCUUCUCACUGAAAAUAAGACAGAAACAGCUCACAUUUUUCAAAGCUUCAGAUCACCCUCUUUUCUGAACGACCUCCAGGAUGCAGCCAGUGCAGGUGUAAUUUAAAAUCAAGAGACUCAGCUUUCAAUAAUUCCUCGCUAAAUUACUGGUGGUGGAAGAGUAUAUAACAGAACUGUUACAAAUGCUGGGAGCAAAAUCUCCAAUAACAACUUAGUGCUUAUGAUAACUUUCCCAAUUUCCUGCUAUCUCUGCUGCCUCUCUCUUUACUCCAGUCUAUAGCUGCUUUUUUCUUUAUUGAACAUCUGCCUUGGGAGCCUCUGUCACAAAAAGUAAUAAACACAUCAAUCCAAAAGAAAAAGAGAGGGUUGCGCAGCCCCAAACUACUUAGCCAAUCAAAUUGGCAGCUGAUAGAAUGAAAUUGAGGGGAGAGCGCUGAGAGACCCCCUUCCUAGGGAACACUUCUAAUGAUGGCGCACACGUCUGCUGCAAUCGGCACACCUCCACUGCACGAGGGCUUCUAAUAAGUUAAUUACAGUUUCUAGCACUAAUUAUAGAUUUCAACCUUUGUGGAGAUUCCAAGCACUGGGAUUAAUUUGUAAGUCUUCUAUCCAGGCAAAACUUGACAGUUAUUGCUUGCUUUUUGCCUCCUCCAAAUUACAAGAGAGGAAUCUGUCUUGGGAUAAAGUACUCCUUUACUUUAAAAAAAAAUCCUGAUAAUAAAAAUGCCCUUUCUGCUUAUUACCCAUGGACCCUACAAACAUAGAACAGUGACAGCAAUUAAAGUCAGGCUCAUUUUCCCUGAAGGUUUUCCACCCCCCCCCAAAUAACAACAACCGAAAAUUAUGCCUGAAAGGAAAACAAAAGCAAUUUGUGUUUUCUUGUUAUCGCCCCUAUCCAAAACCCUGAAAUAGUCACAGAUUCCUUGCAUACAGAGGAGAUGAAAUCAAAUCUUCCAUUGCUACUUUGAAAAAAAAAAACCCAAGCAAACAUAUUACAAAUUACAUUUAACUCAGGUGUGUAUAGUUUGCCAGUUCUUAUCCAAUUGUAAAUUAGAGCAGGGUUGCCUGUUGGGAAGAAAAAAGUAGCUUUUGAAACAUGUCUUAUUGACCGUGUAUAAAUUACCAGCAGCAGAUUUGUGAAGCAAAUUUGAAGUUGGAGUUGCCUACGGGCUACAUUUUAUCGAUUGUAGAUUGAUAUUCAGCUGAUUUGAAAGCAAAAAAUAAAUAUUCCUUUAGCAGCAAUUUAAUUACAAAAUCAUUGCACAAAUAUUAAGAAUAUUACCUUGUUUUAUACUGGGAUUUAGCCAGGGUUUAUAUUUGAUAAAUGCCUAGCACAACAUUUGAACUAAGUUUUUUUUACUAAUCAUAGUGUCUGUGCAUUCUCAUUAAGAAAAAAAUGACAAUAGAUCUGAACACUACAACCUUUUUUCUUUGUAAAUAAUACUCUUCCCUGCUUUGCUACAGAGGUAGCAAGCGCUCGGUUAUCCAGAAGGAAUGAGGAAUGGGUUUUGCUACUUGGGCAGAAGCAGUAUAAGUAUUCUGUCCAGGAAAGGUCUCCAGCAGAAGGUGAGAUCUGAGCUAAGUCUUGAAGGAAGCCAGGGAAACGACAACACAGAAAUGAGAAAGGAGAGCAUUUUAGGCAUAUAGGACGGCCCGUGAAAAAGCCCGGAGAUGGGAGAUGAAGUGUCAUGUUUGAGGAGCAGCAAGUGGGGUACUUUAACUACAACACAGAAUGUGUGGAGGGGACCAAGGUAGA